UUUUAUUUCUAUUGAAGUCUCCACUUUUAUCUCCAAAUAAUAUUUCUUGGAGAUUGGCGUGAAGGGUGAAGAUUUUCUGUUUCCUUCUCAUAUCAAAAGGAAUCCUUUGCAGUGCUCUCGACAGAAAUUCAUUCCCACAUGAAUUCCAAUUUGGUUUCAGUACAUCUGCAUUUUAGGUGGAAGGAGCAGCUCUUGAAGAUGGGAGGGGUGUAAGCAUCGGGGAUACUUUCUGUUCUCUUCCUGGGAAGAUAUUGGGUGGAGGAAAUAGAGAUGUAGCAGCUGAUGUAUAUCAUCGAUACAAGGUUUUUGCACUUUAUUUGAAUUUGAAGGGACACGAAUUUCCUAUUUGGGGCCCACUGUGAUGUCUAUGUGGCAUCCACUCCGUUAAUGAUCACAAGAAUUACAAUGUGGUAUUGAAUUUGUUGAGUUGCUAGAGGAUGACCCAAAUUCAAAGGCUAAAGUCUCAAUGUAUACAGAUGUAUUCGAGCAAACCCCUCAUGAACAUGCCCGGUCCAAGAAUCAAGUUCCACUCAUCGGGUGGGACGUGGAUGUAUGAGAAAAGUGAAUCAAGUGCCACUUGAAGAGUGUUCCAAAUCCCUCUCACAGGCGCUACAUUUAGUUGCAGAAGGGGCACAUCACAUCCAUGGUUCUUGAGUCGGCUAUGGUGCUGCUGGAUUUCUUAGGGAUGUCUUUCGAGUCAAUGAUAAGAGAUUGGAUUCUACUAUUUUUGGUUAGAUGUCUCUGGGUUGUAAGUCUGCCCAUCAUUUUCUUUCCUGUUCUUCUUUAGCUCUUUUUUUUUUUUUUUU